rnacentral:rRNA from 1 species
AGAGUUUGAUCCUGGCUCAGAGCGAACGCUGGCGGCGUGCUUAACACAUGCAAGUCGAACGCGCAGCAUUCUGUAGCAAUACAGGGUGUGGGCGCGUGGCGAACGGGUGCGUAACACGUGGAUAACCUUCCUUGAGGUGGGGAAUAACCCAGUGAAAAUUGGGCUAAUACCGCAUAACAUCGCGAUGGCACAUGCUGAUGCGAUCAAAGGCGCAAGUCGCCACAAGAGGGAUCCGCGGCCGAUUAGCUUGUUGGCGAGGUAAUGGCUCACCAAGGCAAUGAUCGGUAGCCGGACUGAGAGGUUGGCCGGCCACACUGGAACUGAGACACGGUCCAGACUCCUACGGGAGGCAGCAGUGGGGAAUCUUGCACAAUGGACGAAAGUCUGAUGCAGCAACGCCGCGUGGGGGAUGAAGCUUCUCGGAGUGUAAACCCCUUUCGACCCGGAAGAAUGCCCGCAAGGGUAUGACGGUACGGGUAUAAGAAGCCCCGGCUAACUACGUGCCAGCAGCCGCGGUAAUACGUAGGGGGCCAGCGUUGCUCGGAAUUACUGGGCGUAAAGGGUCCGUAGGCGGUGUAGCAAGUCGAUAGUGAAAUCUCUGGGCUUAACCCAGAGGCUGCUAACGAAACUGCUGUGCUAGAGUGUGAGAGAGGCGAGUGGAAUUACGGGUGUAGCGGUGAAAUGCGUAGAUAUCCGUAGGAACAUUCGAGGCGAAGGCGGCUCGCUGGAUCACAACUGACGCUGAGGGACGAAAGCUAGGGGAGCAAACAGGAUUAGAUACCCUGGUAGUCCUAGCCCUAAACCAUCAGACUUGGGGUUUGCCCUGUACGGGGCAAGUCCCGUAGCUAACGCGUUAAGUCCUGCGCCUGGGGAGUACGGUCGCAAGGCUGAAACUCAAAGGAAUUGACGGGGCCCGCACAAGCGGUGGAACAUGUGGUUCAAUUCGACGCAAC